ensembl:rRNA 5S_rRNA 5S ribosomal RNA
AGUUAUGGGCUGCCCUUGCCAGACUGAAUGUGCAUGAUCUGAUUGGGUCUUAGGUGUAAAGCGGGCCUAGGCCUGGCUAGUAUUUGGAUGGGUGACCACCUUGGAAUCCCAGGCACCAUAGCUG